AGGACGAACGCUGGCGGCGUGCUUAACACAUGCAAGUGGAGCGACGAACCGGGGCUUGCCCCGGGGCAGAGCCGCGAACGGGUGAGUAACACGUGGGUUACCUGCCCCAAUGACCGGGACAACCCGAGGAAACUCGGGCUAAUACCGGAUGUGGUCUUCGGACGAAAGGAAGCUUCGGCCUCCGCAUUGGGAUGGGCCCGCGGCGCAUUAGCUUGGUUGGUGGGGUAACGGCCUACCAAGGCGACGAUGCGUAGCUGGUCUGAGAGGACGAUCAGCCACACUGGGACUGAGACACGGCCCAGACUCCUACGGGAGCAGCAGUGGGAAUCUUGCACAAUGCGACGAAAGCGUGAUGCAGCAACGCCGCGUGAGGGAAGAAGGUCUUCGGGUUACGUAAACCCCGUUUGAGGUUUGGGAACGAAGUCUUCGGUACGGUUAAUACGCCCGGCUAGGAGUUCGGACGGUUACCCUUCGAACGAAA
rnacentral:rRNA from 1 species